CGUUUAAUGAAUAGAAAUCUAGGAAGAUAUUGAUAGACAUCAGUAGGUACCACAUAAAUUUCCUUAAAUGUUUUCAGUAGUUGAUAAAUUUCCAUGUUUCAGUAGACAGAUGUGUCGAUGAAAAGUUUGGCGGUAUAGCAACCGGACUAUAAAUUGACGUUUAAUGUUAUGCCUGAUACAAUAUUAAUGGAGCAUCUGCUGGGUGGCGAGGAUGGCGGGCAGGCGUCGAGGCGCGGGCCGGCGUCGCAUAUGCAAUGGCGUCUCAUGUCAUCGCCGGCCGACCCAUGAAUAUACGAUACACGCUCACUAAUGUGCUGUUUUGUCGGGUCAAGUGUCUGAUUGUUGUAUCACAAUAAAUAUAGUUAGUUAGUUAUAAAUUAUUUAUAACUAACAUUUAUGUACACGACGUAGAACAACUGAGUUACCCGACAUCCGUAGCAUCAACGUGCGUUGGUUCCGACUAAUAACGUAACUCUUUGGUGCUGCCCGACUGAAAAAUAUAGAAAGAAGUAAUUAUUAUACGGAUAACUCCCGAUCGGAAGAAAAUUUUAAUUUAUUUUUCUUUUGCAUAAAAAGUGACUUUUGUGCGGGUGUAGGCGUAUAGAAAUGUUUGGUGAAAAUCGUUUCAGCCCUUUAACAGUAGUGCGGGUGAGGUGGGGAAGAAAGACCGAAUGUCUGCAAACAUAGGUAACUCGAAUGGGAACUGUAAUGUAGGUAUCAUGUACAAUGACUGUAAUCUAUGUACAAAUUAAUAUGUUCAAUGAAAAUGUAAUAUGUAGGUUUUUACCUAGUAUAAAAUGAAAAAAUGUUUUAGGUUCGCGCUCCUAAUAAAAUUUUGUUAUUACGAUCCCCCAAUGCGACGUAUUAUCUUUUAUUUUUUAAAGGAUACUUAGUUGCUAAUGUUGUUCUAUAUGAGUUUCAAUUUUCCUUUUUUAAUCAGUAUAGGUGUGUCAGUUAUGUGUAUACCGCUUACGUACUUGGGUCUGCUGGGGUCACAGAGAGACAACAGUGUGAGUGACAGUGGCUGCGUCGGGUGUCGGCCGGCAUCUGCUCCCUGUCGUGGGAGUGCAUGCGGAAACCGAUCGCACCACUGCGCCAACAAUAACACACAAAUCAACGAGCCGACCGUGCCGGCUCACCCCUCUGGAAGCUGUGGGAACCACGCAAUUAAUAAUAUCAUUCGCAAAUCCCCAUCUAAAUCUAAACAAACCAUUCUCGAGUGCGAUGUGUAGGGUGGGAUAAUGGGUAAACUUUGCUAUACAAUACUGGUACACUGACCGGAAGUAGCUUUAUUUGGUGCUUUAUCGAACAAUGUACGUGUAUUUGGAUUGU